CCAAGCAGCGUCGGCCCCGAGCCCAGCCCGGCCCGCCCCUGUAUAAUCUGCUAAAAUCCUUCUAUAAGCCAAUUAAAACAGGAAAGGAUUUUUAAAAGAGAAUUAAUCAAAGGACAAACACAGCACAAAGCUGAAACAAAAUACUAUGGAUGCAAAUACCUAAGAUCCAGUGCUGCAGUUUCAGCCAAGUACAAAUGGUCACCAAUGGCAUGGCAUUUCAAAAAGAAAAAAAAAAAGGGAAAAAAAAAGAGAAAAAGAAAAAACGUACACGCUGUUACUGCUUCUUUGCGUCUUCAGGAAACUCAAGGACAUUAUCAAACUAUAUUUAUGCAAGCUGUGUUAGUUUUUUCAGGCCAAGGUACGUGAUUCAGUUUCCUUGAUGUAAGAGAUGAGAGUUGGCAGCCCAAAAGAGUUUGCAUAUGUUGUGUCGACAACAAUAGAAAUAAAUAUCAGAUAUAGUCAAGGCUAUAUCUGAUGUAAUUCCACAGCACUGUCUGAUUUCUUCAUAGAGAGAAAUGGUCCUAGGAGUGCCUGGGUAUACUCCAAAGAGGAAAAACAUAUGAAUAGUUAUAAAAACAAAAAAAAUAUGUGUGCAUAAAUGUAUGUUUUACAGAUAUAUUUUUAUGUUCCUUGAGAGUCAAAACUCAAAAAGAGUCAAACUUUUUAUGAAUAUAUGUGUAUGUACACACACAUAUUCUACAUCACCUGCUGUAUUUGAAUGAGAAGUGCCUUUUUUUUCAGCUUCCCUAUCAAUAUGCUAUUUCAGAGCAUAUUAAAGUAUUUUAAAGAGC